UCGUAGGUGCUCGACUGGCGCGGGGUCCACUGCUGCUGGGUGGGCGGCCCGUACGCGUCGCGCAGCUGUUCGACCCGGCCCUGCGCC
rnacentral:tRNA from 3 species